AUUGAACGCUAGCGGGAUGCUUUACACAUGCAAGUCGAACGAGUGGCGGACGUGUGAGUAAUAUAUCGGACCGUGCCCAGUAGCGGGGGAUCACUACUCGACAGAGUGUCUUAUACCGCAUUCUCUUGUGGCGGCCGAUAUCGGAUUAGCUAGUUGGUGGGGUAAAGGCUCAUCAAGGCGACGAUCCCUAGCUGGUUUGAGAGGACGACCAGCCACACUGGGACUGAGACACGGCCCAGACUCCUACGGGAGGCAGCAGUGGGGAAUAUUGGACAAUGGGGGAAACCCUGAUCCAGCCAUCCCGCGUGUAUGAGAAGGCCUUCGGGUUGUAAAGUACUUUUGGCAGAGAAGCGGUAUCUGCAGAAGAAGCACCGGCUAACUACGUGCCAGCAGCCGCGGUAAUUC
rnacentral:rRNA from 1 species